rfam:Pseudooceanicola marinus strain CECT 7751 genome assembly, contig: 0007
GGAUCGGGAGGCCACCAUUGGGCAGGUGGUCAGGCAUUGAUCCGAACCCCCUGUUUCGAAGGGCGCAGUACCGGGAGGCCCCGACGGUACAUGCG